UUGUGCUAGGGUCAAACCAUGACACCAUCAAGGUCAGUAAAGAAGGAUGAAAGAAAGAUGCUACAGGUUCUAGAGCUGAGAUUCUCCUAAAAACACUCAUGAAUACCAUUGUAAGGCAGCUAUGACCCUGAAGAUCAUGAAGGUCUACAGGGAAGCAGGUCUCCCCUGCAGCCUGUGGAGGAGGCCACACACGAGCAGGCAGAUGUGUCCUGGAGAACUCUGUCACCCAUGGUGCCCCAACCCCUGCAUUGCUCAGUAAUUGGUGAUGCAGAGCCCAAGGAGGUGGAGAUGACUAUAUGCUCACUUUCCCAGUCCCAAUCCAAAGAGCAGAAAUUCAGAUGUCCUGUCUCCAGUGUUUCCUCUUCUCUCUGUUGUUUAACACAGUAUUUACUCAGCAUCCUGCCAGCUUCAGCUGCCAUCUUGAGGAAGGUUUCAGCAAGAUUUGCCUUGAACACUUGGACAGGAUCCACUGACCUUUGGAAGCUGAUGGGGAUCCCUUUUUCUUUCCAUGACAUGCCAGAAAAAUAAUGUCCAAAUGACACUGACUCUUGGAAGGAAACAGACUUCUACAUUAACUGAAUUAUUUUGUAUUUCUGCUCCUUCCCUUUGUUCCUCCUCCAGUACCACCUGAAUAGCUAUCAGAUACUAAUUAGCUGACACUGAA